CAUCACCGCAGCGAAGGAAGCGCUUCGGGAUCACGGAUGAUCGACCAUCGCCAGGACGGCUACUGACAGGAUGUCGGAAUGGUCAUACAAAAAACCCGCCUCGGCGGGUUUUUU
rnacentral:sRNA from 1 species